rnacentral:tRNA from 1 species
CAAGUUAAAGCUUAUAUAAGUACUUUUCUUACACUAAUGUGAAUAUUGUUAAAUCAAUAUAACUUGA